rnacentral:lncRNA from 1 species
ACCUAGGAGCCACAAUGGAUAGAGUUCUGUACUAGUGGGGAAUCAAAAGGAACAAGUUUUGACAGAUACUUGAGAGAGAGGGAAAAGAUAAAGAGUAACACCAAUCCCAGCCCCAGGCCAAAGCUGUUUGAAUGAUAGAGUCAGAUCUGAGUAGAGCCAAAGGGUACGAGAAAAUCCCCUUCAGUCUCUUUCUUCUUUAGUUGAUGUUAUUUGUAAUCCCCUCCUGGUACAUUUAAGAUGUCUGAGUCUUAAGUAAAGUAAAAUAGCUAUUUAUUGGAUAAGAGGUUAGGGUACAAAUGAGGAGAGAGGAAACAGGAAGUCCCUGAGCUAACUCCCUGCUAUAGAUGUCUUCAGGGGUUUGAGGCACAAGUCUGGGACUUAGUCCCAGACUAUCUUAAUGUCUUUGUAGAUUCAAGAGGACGGUGUGUCUUGUCUCAGAGAUAUGGCUUGAAUGAAUUUUCUGAAGAAUAGACAAUUGCCUUCCCUGAAGGGAAGAAAGUCUCUAUUCCACUACUGUAACACAGAUGAAUGGUCUGGAUCUUUUCCUGCUCAACAAGGGAUUUGUAUAUGGUCACCACACAGACAUCUGAAAAAUGGACGUGUCCAGACUUGGAGGCAGUCUCUGGAGCUUGAGGAGUUAGAGUUCAUGGGUUCCUCAGUCAGGACUGGAAGUAUAAUGGAGAGUGUCCUCUAUGUCCUUCACAACUCUUUCUGGGAAAGAAUAUAA